UCCUCCAUGGAAGGUGCAAGUCUGUGAUCAUCGGCAGUAUGAGUGAAGAUGGAUUUGCCUAAGCCGUCUUUGGGGAACUUUGCUGAGCUGAUGUGAAGGAUGUCUCUACCCAGAAGGAGAAGUACCUAAGCAUCGGGAUCGAGAGGUGGUAUUUCAUCGGCAAUGCAUUUCAGGUGUGUAUGGUGGCAUGCUGCGCCCGGGGAGGGUAUCUCAGAUCUAUUUUCAAGAACUUGGUUGCGUUCGAUAAACGUAGCUAGAGGAAAGCUUAGUUUCUUGGACACUUACUCAAUAGUCUAACCAUAAGCUCUGCUCCCCGCUGUCUCUUUAAGCCCUGUACAUGUCUUGAGGGUGUAUACGUACGUAGUAGCACCCAGAGAUCUUAAAGGCAUCGUAGAACACUUACUUUGCUCAUCAAGUAUUGCGGUCAUUCUCUUGGACUACUGUCUGGGUCCAGUGAGGUACACGGUUCUCACAAUUAAUCCUUUGCCACACACUUUUGUGCACCUCGAAGUGACCUCCUGAGCCUCUGCUUUGUCCUCCUCGCUAUGCUCUGAAUCGGGAGGGGACGACUUGGACUUCCAUGUUGCUGGUUUGUUACCCUCUCUUUACUCAGGCUUGUCCACUGAAGAGACUUUGGACUUGUGCACGUAUACAGGCGCCUUCAUAGGCCUCUCCCAGUAGUAAUUUCUCCCUGUUGGAGCUUGUGUGAAGAGGUUAAAGCUUGGGUCUAUUCAAGCUUUUGCUUCUUUGUGAAUGAAGUCUACAAACACAGAGAAAGGAUGGAAACUGACUAAGUGGUCACGUUUGUAUCAUGAUCCAAUGUAGAUCCACUUUUCCUGAAUGUUGUGUGGAAGUUUCUUGACUAUUUGACUCUUAUGAAAGGCCGGUGAAGUAGCUAUUUAGCUGCUUCCAGAUCAGACAACAGAUCUGCUAGAUCUCCAAGUCUCCUUGGGUCCUUUCUUAUGAUUUUGGGGAAGCAUUCCAGUUUACCAAAGAAGGCCUGUUCGACGACCCCGGUGAGCAAUAUAGCACGUCGAGCCGCUCCCAUCUCAUGGACAAUCCAGUGGGAGGAUGUCUGAUAUUGACUGAUUUAUUUAUUUGAAGCUUUCUGCAGACUCUCUUCCAAGAUAAUUGGUACGAAGGUCGAGCUGUUCUCCGUCAGACAGGUCCAGGUGGUCAAUAGCACUAUGGAACAACGUUUUCCAUGCCCAGUAGGUCAUCGGGUGUUCAUCUUAUACAUUAAGUUCCAAUAUCACGAGGCGGCUGCGGGCCAGAUAUUGAGCGAGGUCGUUGGAGGUUUGGGAGUGGUAACAUCUAUCUCAACAGGGUGCUCCAGUGACAGGCUGAAAUACAGGGGAUGGCAAAUGCUUAUGUAACACUUGUGUUGCUUAGAACUAGAAAAUGAUGCUACUGGGCCAGUCAUAGGUUUGUGGGGAGUGCUGAAAUCAAACAUAGAAAUUAAAGACUGGAGACAGGGUUUAUAACCCUUUUAAGAAUCCCUUUUCCUUUUGAAUAUGUUCAGGUGUUAAAUACUGCUAAAUAUUAAAUAUAUAAAAUAUUAAAUAAAUGUUCUAUUGCAUAGUUUUUACAACUAUAUUUGUUCUUCUAAAUAAAUAUUAAAUAUGUUAUAUAAAUAUUAAAUAUAUUUAAUUAAGUAAAAUACAAUCAAUGUGUAUACAAUCAACUGCAUACAAAUGUGUACACAAACAACAACAAUCUAAUAUCUAUCAACUGUGUAUACAAAUGGGUAUACAAACAACAAUAUAAUAUCUAUCAAGCAAUAUUUCAAUGUUCAAUUGUUCAAUGUUCGUGGUUCAAUGUCCAAUGGUCAAACCGUAUUGAUAAAUCGGCUUCUUUGGAUUCCUUUGGGUAGGCUCAUCGGGUCAUUGGAUAAGUUCGCCAUCAAAGUUCGGUUCAGGUGAAGUCCUAUGUUUGUGUGCGCUGUCCCGCGGCAACACGGACGUGGUUCUAGGAUCUUUUCAGGGUUUCAAAAAAACUGACCUGCACAUCAGGCCAUGCAUAAAACAAAUAGCACAGUUCACCGAUCACUGAUAGAAAUUCUCUCUCGCUUUUUGGCUAUGGCGGAGGAAUGCUAUUUCUCUCGCUGCAGACUGUAUUACCAUGGUAACGUAAAACUAACUGACAACAGACACUCGACCAUAUAAUAAUUCACAAACGUAAAACAAGACCAAAAAACGUCAUACAUAAACAACGUAAAUAUAUUCCAAACUGAGUUGACUUAGUUGUGACGGUUUAUAUCACUGUAACAUCAAUCAACCCGGUGUACGGGUACUAAAUUAUGCCAAAACUCAACGAAACAGUCUUUGGCACUCGUUUUGUCGAUAGACGCGAGGCUGUUGUGUAAACACUCUCGACUUGAGAUUGAAAACGACCAAUAAUAAUAAAAAUUAUACAGUUUAGUUUUAGUUUUACUAUCACUGCCUCUGAUUUUGUAUCUGAAUCAUUUAACGGUUCUUCAAGCUUGUGUCUGCUACAGAAAGGCGUCUUAAAAGGGCAGUGACGUUAUUAAAGGGAUGUUUGAAAAAACUUUUUCUAGAUAUUUUAUAUAUUAAAUUGUAGAUGUAUUUAUCAUAAUAUUAUCCAUUAUUAUGUAUUACUAUUUAAUAUAUAAUUAAUACUCAAUUUGAGCUAUGGGUUACACUUAUUUAGGCUAUGAUGUGGCAAUGCUUUAUAAUGAUAAGGGACUGCUUUAAUCUGUGCUUGUUCCACCUUUAAUGGUUCCAUGACAUGCUACCAGGUGUUGUGCGAUUAGCCGUUACAAGCCGUUUUGGAAAUCUGCCCCUUAUGACAUCACAGGUGGGCGUGUCCACCUAGAUGUAUGCUGGAUAGAUCAGUCUACCAGCCUACCCAGUGGACUUUAGCACCUAUUCAAACCACACCUGGUGGCAUGUCAUGGGACCUUUAAUUCAAUUUCCCUUUUUGAAUGUGCCGCUCUAGCUUGCGCUGCUUCAGCUUUGGCCUGGCCAUGGCCACUGCCAUAGCCGCUUUGCACAAUUUAACUCUGUAGGAUGGGGGCCUGCCCGUAAUUCCGACACCUCAUUGUUCCGACGUCUCAAUGAUCCGAAAUAUUUCCCAUUAGAUCGACAUGCCACUAUGCCGACGGUUCAAUGUUCCGAAAAUGGAACCCAUUGGUCCGAAGGUCUGUUUGUCCGACUUUUCAAAAAGGAGGCGCAUUAGUAUGGAGUCAGUUUCCUGCCAUAAUUCAAACCUGAAAAAAAAAGUUUCAAAGGCUUGUAAGUCUGGGUUUGAAAACUCAACACCUUGUAAAAAAGGUUUUGCAACACUGAAAAAAGAGAUUAUAACCUGAAAAAAAAAAAACUAAAAUUCAAACAUCUGUAAACAUGAUUUUGUGUUCUAUUUUAUCUUCUUCAUCAUUUUCACCAACACAUUUUCAAAGUUCAAACAAUUUCACCAGCGCAUUUGCAGAGUUUCAAAUCUGGCACUGUUCUAACAGUGUAUUUCAUUGUUGCCCGGUUUUGAACCCUUGUAAAUGGGAUUCUGCAAACAGGUGUUUUCAUUCAUUGAGAAAUACGUUUUGAAAGGUUGAAUAUUUAGUUUUAAAAACUUGUAAAGGUGUACGUUUACAACAUUGCAACGUAUUUUUUCAGAACUGACUUUUCAGCACUGACUUUUCAGAGAUUUGACCACACACGCAAGCUUUGAGUCACGUGAAUAUUGGCAGUGUUCUGACGCCACUCGUUUUGAAACUCCUGACAGUCGAAUCUGAAAAAAAAAAAAAACGUUCCUGGGGGCGGGACCAUUUAGCUCUAAACCUAUUGGUUGCUCUCGGCUGACGUACAUUCCAAUCACAUGUGCCGUUCACCGGGCUGUGCGUGAUUGACAGUGCUCUGCCGGUGACACGAAUAACAAGCGACUUUCGAGGUUGAUUUUGAUUUCCAUUUUCUGGAACCAUGGCUGUUUCCCAAAGUGAAGGCUGCAGCCUCGCUAGGACCGCGUCCUUGCUGGUCGCGUCCUAUGGAGAUGAGACUAUAGCUGUGUUCGAAAUCGUUCCCUAUCAUGGAUGUAGUGCACUAAAUAGGGUGCACGCCACUAUAUAGUGGAGUUAAAAUAGGGUACAUACGAUAUUCCCUACAUGUCUGGAUGGCCGAGCGGUCUAAGGCGCUGCGUUCAGGUCGCAGUCUCCCCUGGAGGCGUGGGUUCGAAUCCCACUUCAGACAUUCUUUGUUGAAUGAUUCAGCAACAAAUGUUUGCCUCAGCUGUGAAGACCCAACUGCCAA